rnacentral:lncRNA from 1 species
GGGGGGUUUUUAAUAAGUGUUUCGAGGGAUAGAGUCCAGAUUCAAACAGUUCUCGGUGUGUUGCAAGUGGCCGGUGGACUUCUCGGAAAAUCACCUCUUCUUGAAAAGCUGGGAACUGAGCACACUGUCUUUGAAGGCACUGUCAAGUGUCAGGUAGGUUAGAAUGCUCCACUGCCCUAAAAAUAAACUCUCGGUGUAUUUUUUCAAAGGCAUAUUCUACACACCCGAAUGUCACUUUUCUUUUUCUUUCUUUCUUUCUUUCUUUCUUUCUUUCUUUCUUUCUUUCUUUCUUUCUUUCUUUCUUUUUUUUUUUUUUUUUGAUCACAGCACUUGCUAGAUUGGAUUGUGCUGUCCUAAGAUCUUCCCAGGGUGCAUUUAGGAAGCUGGCAGGGAACCUGGAAGCACGAGGAGAUUCACGGCCUUGGAAGUCAGAUGACCGAAGUUCUCAACAGGGUCUGGGGAGAAAUCCAUCGUUCCAGGUCCUUCUGUGUCACAUUCUGGUGACUUGCUUUUUCAAUGCCGUGUAGUCAAACAGAGACACAGCAAAAAAAUUAGUUAGGCAACUCAUUUCUAUUAUUAUUUUAGAGAGGCUUUAUGAAUGGACUAGGCCUUUACUAAGUUGAAUUGCUUUGAAAAUAGUACAGUCAGGACUAGGGUUGUAGCUCAGUGGUAGACAGGUUUAAGAAAAGGAGUUCAGCUGGGCCCUGGUGGCUUAUGCCUUUGAUCCCUGCUUGGGUGGCUGAGGCAGGCUGGUCUCUUGAAUUUGAGGCUAGCCUAGGCUACAAAGCAAGUUCCAGGGCAGCCUGGGU